CUGGUUAAAUAUGUCGGGGCAGACAUACAUUACUAUUAGAAAAAGUCCCUAGAGUGUUUAAAUUUCCGUGUGUGCCCAUGUUUCCAAUAAAAAUGCUACAAAACUUAAACUCAAUUGUCACGUAUUUUACAUCGCAUUUAUAAAUGAUUUGUAUGGAAAACUUUGGCGAUUUUACUGCCAAAUAUUCUCCACUUUACAGGCUUUUUGCACCUUUGGUUCAUGUCAGAUAUAAAUAAUAUAGCAAUGCUGGUCGAAGGCAUCGUUAACCAUGAUAAUCAUCCUGAUCUACGGAUCACAAAAGGCCAUCCC
rnacentral:lncRNA from 1 species